rnacentral:misc_RNA from 1 species
UACGAAGGGGGCUAGCGUUGUUCGGAUUUACUGGGCGUAAGGGCACGCAGGCGGUCUUGCCAGUCAGGGGUGAAAGCCCGGGGCUCAACCCCGGAACUGCCUCUGAUACUGCAGGACUAGAGACUAGGAGAGGGUGGUGGAAUUCCCAGUGUAGAGGUGAAAUUCGUAGAUAUUGGGAGGAACACCAGAGGCGAAGGCGGCCACCUGGACUAGAUCUGACACUGAGGUGCGAAAGCGUGGGUAGCAAACAGG